UGAAAAAGAAUCCUCUACUGCUACACUCAGCAACAUAGGAAUCUCACAAACAGAGUGAUGAGUUUAAAAAGCAGCAGAGUUCAUUUCCUGGCAGCUCCACACCAGCAGAGAGCCUGUGCUGCUGGGGGGACUUCAGAGGACCCUUGAGGCCACCAAAGACAGCUCCCUUCUGAGUCACGGAAAGUCAAUUGAUCAGGAACUGUAACUGUAUCUGUACAGUCCCUUCCCUUUUGCACUUUCUAUGGUGAAUACACGUUACAGGUCUCACUCACACUCACAGAAAGAUUUCAGAGAGGAGACACAGAGGUCAAGAAAGUAAAGUGAGGAUUUACGAAGCGACAGCGCACUCUCAUUGCGGGACCCGGCAGACUCACGGCACUUGUCACCCCAAAAUGUGUGGUUUCCUGUCAGUCCAGAGGUUCCUUUCUCUGUCUGUCCAAGGGCCACCGUUGUCUACAAGCUGUACGGUUUCCUGCCAUCUGGCCCGUGCCCCGCCUCCUCUGCGCGUAUCUAGCCACCUGCCUGCUGUAACACCAUGGCCCACUACUCGCUUUGUACAUGUAGAUCUGGACUGUGUAAACUGUCAAUAAUACACCAUCUGGCGUAUAA